rnacentral:rRNA from 1 species
UACAGGGGGUGCAAACGUUGCUCGGAAUUAUUGGGCGUAAAGCGCGCGUAGGCGGCUACUUAAGUCGGAUGUGAAAGCCCUUGGCUCAACUGAGGAAGUGCACCCGAAACUGAGUGGCUUGAGUACGAAAGAGGGUCGCGGAAUUCCCGGUGUAGAGGUGAAAUGCGCAGAUAUCAGGAGGAACACCGGUGGCGAAGGCGGUUCUCUGGGACGGUACUGACGCUGAGACGCGAAAGCGUGGGGAGCGAACAGG